rfam:Triticum aestivum genome assembly, contig: Triticum_aestivum_CS42_TGACv1_scaffold_486292_6AS
CAACUACUCCCUCUGUCCCAAUUUUCUUGUCUUAGAUUUGUCUAGAUACGGAUGUAUCUAAUACUAAAAUGUGACUUGAUACAUCCGUAUCUAGACAAAUCUAAGACAAGAAUUUUGGGACGGAGGGAGUACUUU